rfam:Pyrococcus horikoshii OT3 DNA, complete genome.
AAAAAUGAUGAGUACGGGGCCACCUGAGCGGUGAUGAGGUUUCUCCCAAGUCUGAUU